GAUGAACGCUGGCGGCGUGCCUAAUACAUGCAAGUCGAGCGAACGGACGAGAAGCUUGCUUCUCUGAUGUUAGCGGCGGACGGGUGAGUAACACGUGGAUAACCUACCUAUAAUACUGGGAUAACUUCGGGAAACCGGAGCUAAUACCGGAUGAUAUUUUGAACCGCAUGGUUCAAAAGUGAAAGACGGUCUUGCUGUCACUUAUAGAUGGAUCCGCGCUGCAUUAGCUAGUUGGUAAGGUAACGGCUUACCAAGGCAACGAUGCAUAGCCGACCUGAGAGGGUGAUCGGCAACACUGGAACUGAGACACGGUCCAGACUCCUACGGGAGGCAGCAGUAGGGAAUAUUCCGCAAUGGGCGAAAGCCUGACGGAGCAACGCCGCGUGAGUGAUGAAGGUCUUCGGAUCGUAAAACUCUGUUAUUAGGGAAGAACAUAUGUGUAAGUAAAUGUGCACAGAUUGACGGUACCUAAUCAGAAAGCCACGGCUAACUACGUG
rnacentral:rRNA from 1 species